AGCUCCAAUAGCGUAUAUUAAAGUUGUUGCAGUUAAAAAGCUCGUAGUUGGAUUUCUGGUUUGAUGCCCUGGCCCGCUUCAAAUUUUGGAGUGUGUGCCGGCUGUGCGUCUGCCAUCCUUCUAGAAAACGUUCGUACCCUUCACUGGGCCGCGUUCGAGAUCUAGAUCUUUUACUUUGAAAAAAUUAGAGUGUUUAAAGCAGGCAGUUGCUAUGAAUACAUUAGCAUGGAAUAAUAAUCUAGGACUUCGGUUCUAUUUUGUUGGUUUCUAGUACUGAAGUAAUGAUUGAUAGGGAUAGUUGGGGGUGCUAGUAUUGAGCGGCCAGAGGUGAAAUUCUUGGAUUCGCUCAAGACUAACUUAUGCGAAAGCAUUCACCAAGGAUGUCUUCU
rnacentral:rRNA from 1 species